GAAGUAAGUAUGGGCUUCUCAAAACCUGAGUUUGAAGUGGUUACCUUUUCAAACAUGUUGUGAGGUUGGAAGUGGACUUUAAAAAUAAACUAUUAUAAUAAAUUAGCUAUGAGAGGAGAAGAGAGAUGGAUUGUAGCAGCAAGAAGCUAUUGUCUUCAAGGGCGUUUGGAGGGAGAUGCUUGACUCCGGUGAGAGAGCUAGAGAAAAU
rnacentral:misc_RNA from 1 species